UAUUUAAUUGUCAGAGGUGAGAUUAUGCGAUUUAUGAACGAUUAACUUUUGUGAAAGCAUUAGCCACGGAUGCACUCAUCAAUCAAGAACGAAAGUUAGGGGAUCGAAGAAGAUCAGACACGGUCGUAGUGUUAACCCUCAAGUAUGCCGAGUAGGGAUCAGACAAGGAUUUUUUGAUUCGUUUGGCACCUUAUGAGAAGUCAAAGUUUUAGGGUUCCGGGGGGAGGAUGGUAGCAAGGCGGAAACUGAAACGAAUUGACGCAAGGGCACCACCAUGAGUGGAGCAUGCGGAUUAAUUUGAUUCCACACGGGGAAACUCACCAGGUCCAGACAUAGUAAGGAUGUACAGACUGAGAGCUCUUUCUUGAUUCUAUGGGGGGUGGUGCAUGGCCGUUCUUAGUUGGUGGAGUGAUUUUCAGGUCCCUCUCCGGAAGAACGAGACAAUAACCUGUCACCUAGCAAGGCCAAGGUAGUUCGGUACUCAACUUUUUAGAGGGAAUAUGGCAUAUUAGUCAAUGGAAGUUUGAGGCAAUGCAGGUCGCGAUCCCCUUAGAUGUUUUGGGCCGCACGCGGGAGCCGUUGCUCACGUCAACGAGUUUACAACCUUGGCCAUCCAGGUCAAAAAGUCGGGAGAAACUGCAUCGAGCAGGGGAUAGUCCAUUGCAAGUAUUGGAUUUCAUCGAGGAAUUCCAAGUAAGCGUGAGUCAUCAGCUCGCGUUGAAUACGUCCCCGCCUGUAUGUACACACCGC
rnacentral:rRNA from 1 species